CAGUAACGGCGAGCGAACAGGGAAAAGCCCAGCACUGAAUCGCGCGCCCGCUGGGACGCUGCGAAAUGUAGUGUUUGGGAGGGUCCGCUAUUCCGCGGUUUGGCGAUGCGUCCAAGUCCUUCUUGAACGGGGCCAUUUACCCAUAGAGGGUGCCAGGCCCGUAGCGACCGUUGCCGGCUGCGGAAGGAUCUCUCCUUAGAGUCGGGUUGCUUGAGAGUGCAGCCCUAAGUAGGUGGUAAACUCCAUCUAAGGCUAAAUAUGACCACGAGACCGAUAGCGAACAAGUACCGUGAGGGAAAGUUGAAAAGAACUUUGAAGAGAGAGUUCAAUAGUACGUGAAACCGUUUAGGGGUAAACCUGAGAAACCCGAAAGUUCGAACGAGGAGAUUCAGCGUGUCUCGGCCGGCGCGAGUGCCGCUUGGUAGACGGACGUCUUUCGGGGCGGUCGCUCCUCGCGUUUGCACCGCUGCUGGCCGAACGCGUGCACUUCUCCUCCAGUAGGACGCCGCGACCCGUUGGGUGUCGGUCUGAGGCUCGCGGUGGAGUCCGUGCGUCGGCUUCGGUCGUGCGUGCGGACCCGUGUUAUCCCGGCCGGCGGCCCGACGGUAGACUGGAGGCGUAGAGCCGCGACCAGUUCGCGUUCGGCCCAGCGCAAGCGCGGCCGGUUACUCGUUGUGUCGGACUUGCGCCGAUCUCGGGGCCGGUCGGCUGUUGGCGUUUGGUGCUCCCGGACAGACUCUGCACACGCCUGUCAGCGGCGCUAUAGCUUUGGGUACUUUCAGGACCCGUCUUGAAACACGGACCAAGGAGUCUAGCAUGUGCGCGAGUCAUUGGGACCAAUGAAUCCUAAAGGCGCAAUGAAAGUAAAGGCACGAGCUUUGCUCGGCCGAGGGACGAUGGGUGGCAUCUGCCGUCUCGCAAUCCCGGGGCGUCUCGUUCUCAUUGCGAGAAGAGGCGCACCUAGAGCGUACACGCUGG
rnacentral:rRNA from 1 species